GCAGCCGCCACGGGAAUACGUAGGUGGCAAGCGUUGUCCGGAAUUAUUGGGCGUAAAGGGCUCGCAGGCGGUUUCUUAAGUCUGAUGUGAAAGCCCCCGGCUCAACCGGGGAGGGUCAUUGGAAACUGGGAAACUUGAGUGCAGAAGAGGAGAGUGGAAUUCCACGUGUAGCGGUGAAAUGCGUAGAGAUGUGGAGGGACACCAGUGGCGAAGGCGACUCUCUGGUCUGUAACUGACGCUGAGGAGCGAAAGCGUGGGGAGCGAACAGGAUUAGAUACCCCAGUAGUCCCUGUCUCUUAUAC
rnacentral:rRNA from 1 species